rnacentral:rRNA from 1 species
GGGCGCAAGCCUGAUGCAGCGACGCCGCGUGAGGGAUGGAGGCCUUCGGGUUGUAAACCUCUUUUAUCGGGGAGCAAGCGUGAGUGAGUUUACCCGUUGAAUAAGCACCGGCUAACUACGUGCCAGCAGCCGCGGUAAUACGUAGGGUGCAAGCGUUAUCCGGAAUUAUUGGGCGUAAAGGGCUCGUAGGCGGUUCGUCGCGUCCGGUGUGAAAGUCCAUCGCUUAACGGUGGAUCCGCGCCGGGUACGGGCGGGCUUGAGUGCGGUAGGGGAGACUGGAAUUCCCGGUGUAACGGUGGAAUGUGUAGAUAUCGGGAAGAACACC